rnacentral:rRNA from 1 species
AUUGAACGCUGGCGGCAUGCCUAACACAUGCAAGUCGAGCGGAUGAAGGGAGCUUGCUCCUGGAUUCAGCGGCGGACGGGUGAGUAAUGCCUAGGAAUCUGCCUGGUAGUGGGGGAUAACGUCCGUAAACGGGCGCUAAUACCGCAUACGUCCUUAGGUAGAAAGUGGGGGAUCUUCGGACCUCACGCUAUCAGAUGAGCCUAGGUCGGAUUAGCUAGUUGGUGGGGUAAAGGCCUACCAAGGCGACGAUCCGUAACUGGUCUGAGAGGAUGAUCAGUCACACUGGAACUGAGACACGGUCCAGACUCCUACGGGAGGCAGCAGUGGGGAAUAUUGGACAAUGGGCGAAAGCCUGAUCCAGCCAUGCCGCGUGUGUGAAGAAGGUCUUCGGAUUGUAAAGCACUUUAAGUUGGGAGGAAGGGCAGUAAGUUAAUACCUUGCUGUUUUGACGUUACCAAAAGAAUAAGCACCGGCUAACUUCGUG